CUACGGAAAGUUCGGCAGCGACUCGAAGUCCUGGAAAAUCUGAAAUCUUCCGCAACCUUCGAGCUGCAACAAAGUACACUUGGAAUGGAAUCAGAGUUUUUCACCUGAAUCCGGGCUUCAACCUAUCUUUGGACACUGUCAAAACGUUCCGGGCAACUUUAGCCUUGACAAAUGCAAGCCAAAAUGAAGCAGACCGAGAAGCAGACGGUAUCGGGAGAGUCGGACCCUGUGGAGUUUCGGUUCGUCCGAAUACCAGAAGAGAGUCUGAAGUUGACCGAAUACCAGAAAAACGUGGAAGCGCUUGAGGUUGCUGCUGAAGUCGAGUCCAAAGUGGAAUCUUUUUCACUUGGUGCAUUCUCAGAUUUGUGUAAAUAAAUACAGUCGUUAAAUCACCCAUUAAAU